UACGGAAGGCAGCAGUGGGGAAUAUUGCACAAUGGGCGAAAGCCUGAUGCAGCUAUGCCGCGUGUAUGAAGAAGGCCUUAGGGUUGUAAAGUACUUUCAUCGGGGAGGAAAAACAAAACUAAUAAUUUUAUUUCUUGACGUUACCCGAAAAAGAAGCACCGGCUAACUCCGUGCCAGCAGCCGCGGUAAUACGGGGGUGCUAGCGUUAAUCAGAAUUACUGGGCGUAAAGAGCACGUAGGUGGUUUUUUAAGUCAGAUGUGAAAUCCCUGGGCUUAACCUAGGAACUGCAUUUUGAAACUGAAAUACUAGAGUAUCGUAGAGGGAGGUAGAAUUCUAGGUGUAGCGGUGAAAUGCGUAGAUAUCUGGAGGAAUACCUGUGGCGAAAGCGGCCUCCUAAACGAAUACUGACACUGAGGGUGCGAAAGCGUGGGGAGCAAACAGGGAUUAGAUACC
rnacentral:rRNA from 1 species